rnacentral:rRNA from 1 species
GACAGAGGUCCCGAGCGUUAGGCGGAAUCACUGGGCUUAAAGCGUGUGUAGGCGGAUCGUUAAGUACCUUGUGAAAUCCCACGGCUUAACCGUGGAACGGCUUGGUAUACUGGCGAUCUUGAGCCACUUAGGGGCUACCGGAACAAAUGGUGGAGCGGUGAAAUGCGUAGAUAUCAUUUGGAACGCCAAUGGUGAAAACAGGUAGCUGGGAGUGUGCUGACGCUGAGACACGAAAGCCAGGGGAGCAAACGGG